rnacentral:lncRNA from 1 species
CGAAGCUCUACUAUCUCAAGAAUCUCUUUGAGAAAAUUAAGGUGGGAAUGCCAUGUGAUUAUCAAGUUAGUUAUGGAGAUGGAAGCUCAACCUCAAGAUUCUUUGUAAAGGAUGAUAUUCUGUUUGAUCAAGUGUCAGGAGACCUAAAAACAACAUCUAUGAACGGGUCUAUAGCAUAUGGGUAAACUUCUAACCCUUCUGAUUAAAAAUAUGAUUAAAA